CGAGAUAUUCUCUAGUUCGACGUGUGAAUAUGUAUAAACGUAAGUGAACCAAAGUUAAAUAAGUAGUUCACGAGAACAAUUUUCAAGAUUAAUCAUUUCAAGGAUAAUAUGGACGAGCUUGCGAGUGAAGCAAUUUGAAAUAUUGCGAAUUAUUUUUCAAGAUACAUCAUGAUGAUAAAGGAAUAAUAUUUUUGAAUCUUGUCUGCAAGGAUCAAGAUACACUGGUAUGAGAAAGCUCGAGGGCAAAGGCAUUAUCGAGUCGAAUGUAUACGAGAAGCGUGCACAGAAGUGCAG